CCCCUCUCAGACUCACACCUGGAGAGUUUCCAGUACUCUACCAGCCUCGGCUAUGGGAGGAAGAGUCUAGCAGAAGCACAGCCAUUCCAUUCCAAGCUUGGGCAGUGGCUAGCGAAUGGAAAGCAAUUUGCUAAAAGU